rnacentral:rRNA from 1 species
UACGUAGGGUGCAAGCGUUAAUCGGAAUUACUGGGCGUAAAGCGUGCGCAGGCGGUUGGGCAAGACAGAUGUGAAAUCCCCGGGCUUAACCUGGGAAUGGCAUUUGUGACUGUUCGGCUAGAGUGUGUCAGAGGGGGGUAGAAUUCCACGUGUAGCAGUGUAAUGCGUAGAGAUGUGGAGGAAUACCGAUGGCGAAGGCAGCCCCCUGGGAUAACACUGACGCUCAUGCACGAAAGCGUGGGGAGCAAACAGG